UACGUAGGGGGCUAGCGUUGUCCGGAAUCAUUGGGCGUAAAGAGCGUGUAGGCGGCCCGGUAAGUCCGCUGUGAAAGUCGGGGGCUCAACCCUCGAAUGCCGGUGGAUACUGUCGGGCUCGAGUGCGGAAGAGCCGAGUGGAAUUCCUGAUGUAGCGGUGAAAUGCGCAGAUAUCAGGAGGAACACCAAUUGCGAAGGCAGCUCGCUGGGACGUUACUGACGCUGAGACGCGAAAGCGUGGGGAGCAAACAGG
rnacentral:rRNA from 1 species